AGCGAAAAAAAAAUUACGUUUCGUAUUCGUUCGACGGCCGCUAGUCAGCGCUGAAGUAGUAUUUGCGCGAAUUUCGAAGAAAAGCAGGAAUGCGUGUCUAGAAGACGAUCGAGCGCGAGGGGGUUAGGAGGGGACGGCCCAGAGGGGCAGAGGGGAGGAUGUAUAUUGAGCCCGCGUCAAGAAGAGCAUUCUAAAGAUACUCGGUUGCGUUUGUGAAUCGGAGUCGUUCGUGUGUACAUAUAUUUUUUUCUAUUCUGUGUGUGUGUUUUUUUAUUUCUUCGGUUUUUUUAGUACUCACCGAUCAGUGGAAAGAUACUAGGCUGGUCCAGUAGCGACUUGAGACUGUUUUCAACGAGGAUGGGAGAAGAACGGUCCUUGUCACUCAUUUCACGCACUGCGCCACGAAGCCGCACGUUCCGAGGUACACACGCACACCAGCUCCGUUCGUAUAUUACGGGGGAGGAGGGAGGGAGGAGGGGGGAGAGGAACACCGCACAGAAGAGCGAGCGAGAGCCGUGUAUAUUGGUAUAUACGGUUUAUGUAUGCGGGCACGCGAGAACUGCGGAUGUAUACGUGAAGCGGAGCGAACAGGCACACACGAGGGCGAACGUGUAAUAACAGCGAGGAGAGCGCGACGAUUGGGAACCGAUUGUGCCUCCCGUGGGACACGAUCGAAUGACGUUCUUCCAGACCGGCAGAGAGAAAAGGCGCCCGCACCCGAACCUCUCACCUCGUCACGCUGUUACAACUAUCACCCGAGACGGUCGCGGCCCGUUCGAACACUCUGGCCACGUUAAAAUAAACGCGGAGCGCUACCCUGUGCACGGUGCUCUUGAAAAUCAAUCUAAAAGUGGCUCGGCUGGUGGCGCAAUCUCCUGGCUACCCUCUGGACCGACUCGCGAACAAGUGAACGACGCCUGCCGUACUGAUAACGAACACUGUCUUUACUUUUGCCUUAUCGCAAUGCGCGCGCAUCGAUCGUCCUCUGACCGUCCCCUCCGGUCCCCCCGUCACCCUCCGCGCACGUCGUCCGUUGUACCUCGUACCGCAAUACAAAUUUCUCGGUCAUGAUCAACGGUUCUUGUAAACUCUUCGAUCACGAGAUUUCUUUUCAUAUUUCUUAAUUUAUGAGAUCUCUUGUUGACACUAACUUCGAAAUGAACUGUGGACCUUCUGAGAUGGAAACGGUUGAAUGAUGUUUACCACUUGAUGGUACGUUAUUUUGAAUGUAUGGUUGCAAUGGUAUAGAUUCUUGUCUGUGUCUCUCUGGUUGUAUAUGUGUUAUUUGCAAUAAGUUUGUCGAUGUUUUUGGAAUAGAUUCUUUAUUUGAAUUUGAAUGGUUUGUCGUUGAAUUAUUCGAGAUAAUCCGUCAUCACGAUUUCAUGCGUUUCUACGCAUAAAGUUAGUGUGUUAAGAAACAAUAUUCGUUUAAGUUUAUGAAUCUUGUGAUUCGUUGAGAAUUGAAUAGCUCCAACGAUGCUGAGAAAUUUGUAACUUCUCGUACACAGUUUGUCAGAUGUAGAAUGCUGGAUUUGUUGCGCAUCACUCUUUUAUGUACAAAACUUACAAAGUGAUUUACAGUUUGUCGUGAGAUUGUUAUUAUGAAUGAACAUUUUAAGUACAGAUGCACAGAGUGUUUUAGUUUGAUGUAUGCUUAAAUAAAAUAAGGGGAGGAGUAUUUGUUUCAUUUGAAAUUCUUCUUAAAUGUCAAAUAUUAACUUAGAAAGACAAUUUCAUUACGUACAGUACGAAUUAUUUUGUCACAUGCUUAAGAUCUUACAGUAUAGUUGAAUACUAUUUUUGGUUUUUAAUCGUCAUCAAUUGUUUGUAGAAUGCAAAUAUUUGAUACAAACUUUACAAAAUAUUUUGCACCUAAUUAACAUUAAUUAUGUACUUCUUUCUCUAUCCUAUAUGUAAGAUAUUUGCUACACUCACAUACUCAUUGACUACCUAACAAAGCUUUGAACAAAUUUAUAUUCUACAUUAUGUUUAUCAGCCUGCUUACAAAGUUUGUUUCAGAAUAUAAACAACAGAAGACCUCCAGACUUAAAGCACAAGUUACAUGCAUUAUCUCUUGCAACUAAGUACUCUUGGCGAAAAGCGAACAAAAUGCAGAGUGAAUAGGCAGUAUCUUAAAUAUUUACAUAAAGUUAUAUUCUACCGAUUUUUAAUUGCAUUCGACAUUCAGCCACUUAAUUUGUAGAAUGUCGGUGCAUCAAAUUUAUCACUAGAUACUUUCAUUCGGUAAUUCAUUUAUAUGGAUUCACUCAAACCCAAACGCUCAGAGAUUCAGUUGUAGUCUGUGAUGUGGUAAAGCUACGUCGAUGCUGCUUCAAAAGGGCUUGAAUUUCAACUGGUGUGGAAGACCACCUACGAUGUCUUGUUUUGUCCAAAGGUACUUCAGGAAGACCAACUUCCGUGUGACAACCUCUGAUAGGAGAAAUUGGCAGAGCACUGGGUAAUCCAAUUUCUUGAAAUGAACUCAUCGAGGAGAAUCCACUCUCAUCCUCUACGCUGCUUACGCUGGCAGCUGGUUUAGACUUAGAAUAUCUUUCCCUUUCUUUCUUCUCAAUUUUUCUGGUACAUUUAUUUGGCGUAGAAGUCGGUGUAAACAUGAACGUCCUGUCAUGUUCUGGCAGUGUAACAUUGAAGGAGUUAUUAGCCGGAAGAACAUCUUCCUCUUCAGUGGUUUUACUGCUUCCUGAAUUGAGCGACGUAGCAUCAAUGGACCUCCUACCACCCGGAAGAAGAUUUUGUAAGCUCCUGUUAGCUUCGACAACGUGGGACAACGUUUUCACGAAACAAGUUCUAUUGUCACUAUCUGUACCUCUUGAUUCCUUUUCACGAUCACAAUUGCGACGAUCCGUGUAACUGAUAGCUUCCUGUAAUGUUGUCGAAUUUACAAAGCUAUUGUUUUGCAGAGACAGUGAUACCUCGUUGUGAUGAUUGUUAUGUCUAUUCUGAUCUACCUGCGAAGGAGAAGGUUCAAUGUUAUUGUUCCGUCCGAUACGCAACACCAUAAUUAAAGAUUCUUAAAGUUUAAUUUAUGACAUGGACAGGAUAGACAGUUUAUUGUCCAGUUUAUUCUUCAUUAAUAUUUUAGAGCUUCAUUUAUCUACAACCAGCAUUUUCACUUACGCGAUAUUAAGUUUAUUUUAGUCAUAAUGAAUGUUUAUAUAUACAUACGCAUAUGCAGUUAUCGUCUGGCGUGAUUCUUGCUAGAUCUGGUUCCCUCAUGGCCAACAGUGAUUGAACAGUUCUCAUUAACCUGCAGCAUUAAAUAACACCAACGUUAUCAUCUUUCCAAUUACCAAAAUAAUUUUCAUCAAUGGUACCAAACAAAGUUAAAGCUAAAGUCCUCACCUAAAUGCUUCCUGGGACAGUUUCUCAGGUGGUACCUCGUUCGGAUUUAGCUCCAGCUGUUUUGGCCUCUUGUAAACUACUCCCUCGUGAGUCUUAUUGAGAUCGUGCGACUUGUUACGUGGUGGCGUGCAAUGUACUGGGUCGUUCCUGCGCAGCACUGACCAGGUGAACUCUCGGUAACCGGUGGUACAUGGGGAGAUCUGUGUGACCGAUUUCGCCCUGGUAAAACGUGACGAAUCCGAAGAGGAAGACGAAGAGGGCGUCGAGGCACCACGGUUUGGCGAACAGUCUGCGUGAACCGCGUGGACGCUUCGGCUACGAGGAACUCGUCCAGUCGAGCCCGUAUCCUUAAGAGUACUCUUCUCGUGAAGAAUAUCCAAGCUUUUACGGGCUCGGUCCAGGAAUCGCACUACCUGCUCCAUUAGGGAACGGUACAUCUGUCUGUUCGCCUCUAUCUGUAAUUUGAAACAGAAGGCAAUUAGUAAAUCACUUUAAACUAUUGUUUCAAAAGAAUUUUAUGUUUAAACGCUUUAUGUCCUGAAGAUAUUUCAAGGUACCUGAUUAAAAUGAUAUUGUACACCAAUUAUAAUCAAAUGUUUUAUUAAAUCUGAUUCUUUUGUUUGAACAGGAUUGAAGAUAAAGGUACCAGUAGGAUCAAAGUGAAUUAUAUUACGUUGCAUAAAAAACGCAUAAUAAAAAAAUCUAACAAUAUCUUCGAAUUUUGGUCAACACGAACACCCCUUGUAUAUAAUACAGACGCAAAACCGAAAUUGUUUCAUCUGAGAAAUAAGUAAACACCGUCCGAGGCACACGUAAACUUGAAUUUCAAAGUAAAACGGUGCGCACGACCCCGAUCGGCCGAACCAGAGUAGGAAAAGGACCUCAUUCCGCUCGGUAUUAGUCAGAUUAAAGGAGCAGUUUCUACUGAAGAUAGUGAAAGUGUUCUGCAGCUACGAAGAAAAAAAGAAUGGCAGACCUCAAGGUGUCGGGACACAUAAGCGUCCGUGAGCCUCGGGCCAGCCAACCAAAACUGCCAUGUACGGAGAAGAUAAUUUGUUAAAUUAAUCAACGCAAAUAUGGAAAAACAACACUUCGCCACGGGAAUAGCAGGCGUUCGCCUCUUAGAACUUUCCCCGUAAUUAAUCGAGCAUCGAUUUCCAGAACUUCAGCGUUGCUCGCGGAGAAAGAUGCUUGAAACGCGAACCUUCGUUCAGAAUGUUUUCAAUUUGCUCGUCGAUGAGUCAUUGCUGUUUUAGUGUCAAGGGACACACUUGCACGUCGGAUCCCGUGAAUCCUUUAUAUGGUUCGGUAUUCGGCAAUAACGCGUUAUCUCGAUAAAAUUGUCCGACCGGCGAAGAGGAUUAAAUAAUCGGUACAAGUUGCCACUGCAAUGUUUCGAUCUGCGUCUGGAGAACGACAUUGUCGAUCAUUUGCGUGUGGGGCGUCCGAUUCACCGUCAACGCGUCCUGCAAUCUUCGGUUCUCGUCGAUCAGCGACUGGCAUUGCUAUAACAUAACGAUCGGAUUAAUUAAUUGAGACGAUCGUGUCGAGACAACGUGAAUAUCAGAAGAAAAUUGAAAAGAAUAUUCGGCGUCGAUGUUGCUCGAAAGCCGAUGCGGUUGAGACCGGAAAAAAAUUGAGAAAAUUAAUGUUCUUUAACACGUUGGUUGGUAAAACUUUUGGUUUAUAGCAAUAGGAUAUUAUUUAUUCCAUUAGAAUUGACAGACAUCAGAAAAUAUCGAAAAAUGGUCCACACUGGCUUGUGAGCGACUCAACUGCUAAUGAGACGACGUCGCUGCAAAAUUUCGCGGAGCAAAGUAUGCAAAACCAAAGAAAUUUAAUGUCGAAUUGUUUCAUUGAGUUACGCGUUAAUGAUCAUAAGACCUAGAGAACGUGCGUUCGAGAAAAUAAACACUCUUCUCGGUAAAACACGGUAAAAGUGUAUUUCAGAAGUAUUCGAAAGUUCUUAAUUUAAUUGGACUGUGUAGAAAGAGAACUUUGGUAAUCCGAAAAUUAUCGUUUUCAUAACACUGUGGCUAUUAAAAACUCGGUGCAUUAGCCUUUCAAAUGUUCCCGUCGCGUUUUGUUGGAAAUUUCGAUAGAGAAAAUUGUGUUAACAUUAUAGAGCGUUAAAAGUGCAAAUAGAUGAAAUUAUUAGGCAUCGCUGAAGAACGUGCAGCGCGCGAUCGGCGUCUUCGCGAAUUAAUUAACAUUUCCGAAGUGGCGUGCUUAUUGUUCGCGCGAAAAGCGUCUGGUUUCUGGUACAACUUUCCUGGGCGCAAUAAUUCUUUUUUUAAAGGAAGAAAGAGGCGCAAUGUGUGCACGCGUUAAUACAAGGUUUCACCUUGCGUAGGAGAUUCUCACACGGUGGAGUGAACACAAAACCGUCGUUAGCAGAGCGUACGCGUAUUUAUUGUGCAACAAACACAGUUCUUCUGCCGAUAGACCCUCCGGAGUAACACUUUUUCACUUUUCGAGUAAUCCUAUUUCCUUUCUGAUGGUUAUAGAAUUCAAGCCCCUCGCAACAGACGUAAAAUUGAAUCGUCGAGAUUAGAAGGGAGAUUAUACAGACAAGACCGUUUUAAAUUAAGCCAUUAACUGUGCCAUUUUACUGUUUUCCUUUGUUCCUGAAAGAAUUGAUAAAAACGGCUCGAUCUAGCUUCUGAUCUCGCUGAUCCUAUUGCCAACUAUGGUCAGAAGUUUCUAUUAUUUAAUUGUGUACUGCGAAAUGUGCGCGUGUGCUUCAUUAACGUGUACCAAAAACGUAGGUAUUCGUUCUUAGUAACUUCUGUUGAAUCCGAAACGUUACCAUUUCAUCAAGUACCAUAUACAGUGGCGUUCAACAGUUCCCCACCAUUGACUUCUCUCCUUUGAACUCAUCCUUUCAAAGAAACUUCCAAAAACGAUCUGUAUGUAUACUCCUAACAUCUAUAUUGGUAAUUACUCAAGAUUCUAAAGAAUCAAACAGUUUAAUUCGGAUCAGUUCAGUGUCAAGUGCCUUUAGUUUACUUUAAUUCAAAGUUCAGUGCCUAACAUAGUUCCAAUAAACAAACUUGAUUAAUCCCCUAAACGUUCGUCUCGAGCACUCGACGCAUAACGAGUCCAUAUUCUCAAUAAAAAUCCGAAUACGUACACCCGAAUUCCCGAAACCUGACAAAACUCUCGAAAUGACCGGCGUCGGUCGCCAUCUUGGAGAAUCCCGGCGCGUGCGGCCGCGAAGAAUUCUAAUGAAAAGGCGCCGCCGGCUGGGAGAGCGAGUUUCAGUUAUUCCAGUCACGAGGCCAUUA